CUCAACGGGGGCGAAGCUGCAGGAGCAACCAGCUUGGUGGGUACCUCCUGGGUUUUGUUUGCAGGCCAGGCUGUUACCGCAGCAGCUGUGGUCGGGAACCUGGUCUCUCGCUAUUAUAACUUACAGAGUUCAGGCGAGGCUCUCAUACAAAUGCCUCAUUUCAGGUGGAGGUGGCUAAAAUAGGGAAAAUAAAAAAGCAUGACCCUUUUUUUUUUUUUUAAGGGCCACUCGCGCAGCAUAUGACGGUUCCCAGGCUAAGGGUCGAAUGGGAGCCACGGCUUCAGGCCUACGCCACAGCAACGCCAGAUCCAAGCCAUGUCUGCAGCCUAUUCCAAUAGCUCAGGGCAAUGCCGGCGCCUUAACCCACUGAGCGAGGCCUGGGAUGGAACCCCCAACCUCAUGGUGCCUAGUUGGGUUCAUUUCUGCUGCGCUCAGGACUGGAACUCCAGCAUAACCCAUUUUAGAAAGUUAACAUUUUUCUGUAUUUUACAUUUGGAAAGAGGCUUAUUUUAAUAUAAAAAAAAAGCGGAGUUCCCGUCGUGGUGCAUGGUUAACGAAUCCGACUAGGAACCAUGAACUUGCGGGUUUGAUCCCUGCCCUUGCUCAGUGGGUUAAGGAUCUGGCGUUGCCGUGAGCUGUGGUUUAGGUUGCAGACGCAGCUUGGAUCCCGAGUUGCUGUGGCUCUGGUGUAGGCUGGUGGCCAUAGCUCCGAUUCGACCCCUAGCCUGGGAAACUCCAUAUGCCGAGGGAGUGGCCCAAGAAAUGGCAAAAAGACAAAAAAAAAAAAGAAGAUGUGGUACAUAUACACAAUGGAACACUACUCAGCCAUAAAAGGGACAAAAUAAUGCCAUUUGCAGCAACAUGGAUAGAACUGGAGACUCUCAUACUAAGUGAAGUAAGAAAGAAAGACAAAUAUCACAUGAUAGCACAUAUAUGGAAUCUAAUAUAUGGCACAAAUGAACAUAUCUACAGAAAAGAAACAAACUCACAAACUUGGAGAACAGACUUGUGGUUGCCUGGGAGUUUGGGGUUGGGGUUAGUAGAUGCAAACUAUUGCAUUUGGAGUGGAUAAGCAAUGCGAUCCUGCUGUGUAACACAGGGAACUAUAUCUAGUCACUUGUGACAGAACAUGAUGGAGGAUAAUGUGAGAAAAAGAAUGU
rnacentral:lncRNA from 1 species